AUACUGAUACUUGAGAAACAUAUUUUCAAAAGUAGUUUUCAUCGCUUUGGUGGCUCUGAUUGCACAGGCCUUGACCGGUCCAGAAUACUGCCCUAAUCCGUCCACUGCGUUAGUUUCACUUUUAUUAUAUUCUAUAACACCUCAUGUGAGAUUAACCGAUCAUAAAAGAAGGAACAGAUCUAUAAUGGUAUUGUACAUGAAGAUAAUCCCUUAUCUGGACGUGUUUCAUAAGACGUUAUUCUUAAGACGGAAGAUGAAAAAAUUCCCACUUGCAUACUGGUGACUGGAGUCGCUUCUAGUGAAUCGGAAGGCGUUCUUUCCCAAUCUGCCAUUGGAAUUUCAAAGGAAGGUGAUGUAACUGUUAAGCUACUUUCCACAAUUAAAACUGGAAUUGAUGUAUCCCUUGAAGUGUAUACGGAAUAAAUUGUAAUCAACCUCCUAUACUGCAGAUGUGUAAAAUAAAAUUCAUAUUAAAAGUAUGUGUGUGUUAAUUGAGGGGUAUAGAUGCAAAACUCACAUUAUCCGCUUUUUCAAAUUUUUCAGGAAGAAGGAAUAACUGAUUUCUCACUUUUUAAGUGACUUAUGGCUCUGAAAUUUUUUUUUGGUAUUGUAUUAGAACUUUAACUUUGCUUCUUAAUUGGUGAAAUGACAGCACAACAAUAUUUGACUCCAAGAAAGUGAAUUAAAGUUUGGAUAAUGUGAGUUUUGAUACAACUUUUUGGAUAAUGGUAGUUUUGCCCCAAAUUAUUCUACAUAAUAUUAUUUUUUACACCAAAAUUUAUGAAAUUAAAGGAACUUUGAAACAAACUCAAUAUCAA